AGAAAAAUGGUUGGCAGGUUAUGUGCCGAACCUGAAAAAAUGUGUACAAGUGCAUGUGACUAAAAAGUAUAUAUCUCAGUGAAGUGGUUGGCGAAGCCUGAUGCAGAUAUCUUACUUUGCACCUUUGCCGUCAACCCAACACAUGCAAUAGAUGGUUGUCCACUGCAGGAGUUUGUCCUCCCAUACCAAGUGCCGUUUUCCAGAUUAGGAUUCGGCACUUAGUCAUAUUUUAUAUAAAACCUGGUAUUAAACUGACUCUAAUGACCCAGUCAUAUUUUAUAUAAACCCAGCCAUAUUUUAUAUAAUAGCCCAGCGGUAGAAUUUUAAAUUAAUUUAAACUGCAACUUCAACAGACACAACUGCUUGAUUAACGGCCAACCACCCAAAGCUCCACGUCGCAGCUGUGCUGGCCAGAUCAGCUGUCUGGACAACACAAACAGUUGAGCGGUUGUUAGCUUCAGACGCUCAUUGAGCAUCAGGAGAAUUGCAGGCUGUGAUUCUACUGCCGAAAGCACCUGCGUCUGCCAGCCGUGCGUUCUUCGUUUACUGGUUGUUCCGCACUUGUGGUGGCUUCGAGGCCGAGU